UACGUAGGGUGCCAGCGUUGUCCGGAAUUAUUGGGCGUAAAGAGCUCGUAGGCGGUUUGUCGCGUCUGCUGUGAAAGACCGGGGCUCAACUCCGGUUCUGCAGUGGGUACGGGCAGACUAGAGUGCAGUAGGGGAGACUGGAAUUCCUGGUGUAGCGGUGAAAUGCGCAGAUAUCGGGAGGAACACCAGUGGCGAAGGCGAGUCUCUGGGAUGAUGCUGACGCUGAGGCGCGAAAGCCAGGGGAGCAAACGGG
rnacentral:rRNA from 1 species